rnacentral:sRNA from 12 species
GAUAAGGGAACGCACCCAGGCUCUCGAUUCUUCGGAAGAGCUCCCGGAGGCAGACGCAGCCAAGUGGGCUGCGGAAUCGUUACGGAAACGCGCAUUGAGCGGGACCACAAUGGUGCGGCCC